CCGGCGGUUACUGCGGAGACGCUUUGUUUGCUAACUUCCAAGGCGGCUUUCGGAGCGCGCCUCGGGCCGGCUCCCCCUUCCCGGUGCUGCCGCUUGGCCACGCGGUGGCUCUCAGGACGUGCACAGAGAUAGCUCUGCUUUCCUCUCUGCAAAACUUGGCUGAGGAAUGCGAUUCUCAGGCGACGGAGGUGGAAACCGAGUUUGCAGCUUGAAAACAAACUUCACAGGGCCAGGGGGCGGGGUGGAGAGAGGUAAAAGCCUCUUUCAGAGCGGCGGGAGGCGAAAGCGCAGGCUUAAACUCGCCUUGGCUGCACCGGGCCCUCGCUUACCUUGUGCCCGAGCAGAGCCGGCAGGGCACCGCGGAGAGCAGCACCGGCGAGUUUUGUGGUGCAGGGGGAGCCCCAGAGACCCCGGGUGGAAGCCACCCCACCCUCCCCCACGGCCAGUGCCACACUGCGGGGACCUUCUGGGAAGAAGGUGCCUGGGAUCUUCGAAACUCGACCUCGAAAAGCUCCCGGUAGCUGCCAAAGACUUGGGAUCUGUUUAUUGCUUUUCUUAGGGUGGAAAAACAAGCUUCAGUUCUGGUUCUGUCUGACCCUUAACGUCUCAGGGCCUCUCCUUAAAACAGAUUCAAGGUCUUUUAAGUUUUGUGGUUUUUUACCCCCCAUUGUUUUGUACGGAAAGUUGUAUGGAGACACACGUUUGCUACCUGUUAUUUGCCCGAUUCAGAUGAAUGUGAACGGAAUUGAUUGCGGGGGGCUUGCUGAUAAAUGUUUUUUACCGUUGUAUCUCUCUCGCAUAGGUGUCUUAUCUCCUGCAGCCGCCUCAAGGCCAGGCAAAGAAACAGUUGUUAGAGACUUUUCACAGGAACUUGGAAAAAGUGCACCAAAUAAAUUGGAAAGGCAUGAAUUCCAGCAUUACCGGCCGGAGGUGGAGUAACAGUGCCACACAGUCUGUUGCUGGGUGCUUUUGCCUCGAGCGUCUGGGAGGGCAGCUCCUUCUAUAAAAUGCGCCGCGGCUGGGCGCUGGACAUGGGACAGAGUCUGUCAAAUAAAUUUAAAUAGCACAAUCAUAUAACAGAGCUAAAAGGUAAAAGCAAGGAGUCGGGCAUGGUAUCGCACACCUGUAA